rnacentral:rRNA from 1 species
ACGCUCGACACCUACGGGAGGCAGCAGUGGGGAAUAUUGCACAAUGGGGGAAACCCUGAUGCAGCGACGCCGCGUGAGCGAAGAAGUAUUUCGGUAUGUAAAGCUCUAUCAGCAGGGAANAAACUGACGGUACCUGACUAAGAAGCACCGGCUAAAUACGUGCCAACAGCCGCGGUAAUCUGAGGCGGCUGGACAAGGC